AACGCUGCUGCCCUAAAGCUGCCCACUAACAGCGGAUUGGGGGACGAGUCUGGCGGCGUUGAAGGUGUCUCCCGGCACCGGAGGUGUCCUGUGGAGUUGAAAGUCUUGCGGAAGGCAUCUCGCGACACCUUUGGUGCCGCAGGAGCCGUCCCGCAAAGCCUUCGGCACUGCCGGAGGCGUCUCGAUGCUUCCAGCGCCGCUGGAGGCGUCCCGUGACUUCUCUGUCGUUGCCUGCAAUGCAUCUCAAGACAGGGACGCCUUCGGUGCCGGUUUCACCCAUCCGGCGGAAUGCUAUACAAUCCAUUGCUAAAGAAGGCCCUAACUUCAUUUACAAUAAUCAAGCUCUCAGAGUGAAUUCUCCAAUUAAACCGCCUCCAACUACCCAGAAGGACUUGUAAAGGAUAUUGAAUUUUGUUCAAUUUGGUACAUGGUUCAAGUUGAAGGUUGGCUCACACUUAGCGAGAUUGGGUCCAACCAACCCAAUCAAAGGGGAUUAUCCAAGAAGCCCAAUCCAUCCAAGGAGUCUUAUUGGAUCUGGGUUCAACCUCUCCUCACUCCAAGAUGCAACAAACCUGGAUCCAUUGAAAAGCUACAGUAUUCAUCCCUAAUUUGAUGAAGGAAAAGUCCUCUUCCAGGGACUAUGAAUCUCAUCUUCGACACUGCCACUGCAUCUCCAUUGGCUGGCGGUUAAUCUUUCCUCCAUCCAUCAUCGGCCAAUCGACCGUCUCCCCCCACCAUUUCUCACCUUAUCUUCCCCGUCUAUCACUCCCCGAUAAGAUUUGGAUGUUGCCUCCCUCAUGUCAUGGAAGAAGGCAACCAAGGGAGCUUGAAGCUAGAUGUCACCAUAGUUCAACAAUAAGAGUUAACAAUGUGUAAGGAGAAGAAUUUCAUAGUGUAUUUCUUGAUACAAUUGUGUAGGUUACAGUAUUUAUUUAUACACAAAGUUAUGCUAA